rnacentral:rRNA from 1 species
AUAUCAAUAAGCGGAGGAAAAGAAACUAACAAGGAUUCCCCCAGUAACGGCGAGUGAAGAGGGAAAAGCUCAAAUUUUGAAUCUGGUGUCUUUGGCACCCGAGUUGUAAUCUAGAGAAGUGUUUUCUGUGUCGGACCAUGCACAAGUCUCCUGGAAUGGGGUGUCAUAGAGGGUGAGAAUCCCGUAUAUGGCAUGGACCCUGGCACUCUGUGAUACACUCUCAACGAGUCGAGUUGUUUGGGAAUGCAGCUCAAAAUGGGUGGUGAAUUCCAUCUAAAGCUAAAUAUUGGCGAGAGACCGAUAGCGAACAAGUACCGUGAGGGAAAGAUGAAAAGCACUUUGGAAAGAGAGUGAAACAGUACGUGAAAUUGUUGAAAGGGAAGCGUUUGAAGUCAGUCGUGUCAUUUGGAAUUCAGCCUGGCUUCUGCCUGGUGAAUUUUCCGUCUGACAGGUCAGCAUCAGUUUCAAUCAGGGGAAAAAGGUGUGGGGAAUGUGGCUGUCUUCGGGCAGUGUUUAUAGCUUCACAUUGUAUGCCUUGACUGGGACUGAGGAAUGCAGCGCGCCUAUUGGCCGGGGGUUCGCGCCCCUCGGUACGCGCUUAGGAUGCUGGCAUAAUGGCUUUAAGCGA